ensembl:lncRNA
CUGGAAUCAGGAUUUCAUUCAGGCUGCAUUGACUGUGGGACUUUUCUCUGUUAAAAACAGGUUGAAGACGGCUCAGAAACAUUUGAAGAUUAAAAUUUAGCGUUAUGGCUGCUCGUGGUGUGUAAAGCUUCUACUCAGCUGUAUUUUUGUUACUAAUUUAUGUUUGUUGUUGCUUAACACAGAUUUCAGAAGAGCAAAUAUGAGCACUGUUGCUUAAUCCUUAAUAGUUUAAGUGGAUUGGAAAUAAAAAAAAAUCCAGAUUCUUCUUCCACAGAAGUUUCAUUUGUCAGUGUGGGACUGCUGAGUCACCUGAAGAACUCAUUUCAUUCUCCAUGAUGUUCAUUUACAGAAAUGUUUCACAGGAACUGAUUCCUCCCAUAGGGUGAACUAGUGUGUUUCCAUAAUGAUAUGUUUUUCAUAUCUCAUUAUGAAUGUACUUCUUAAAUGAUCACCGGGGGAAGAAAAGAAGCAGACGUACUUCCAAGAGGGAGCUGCAGUGAGGACACAGCCUGGUCACUGAGGUCAGAGGAGGCGCUGAAAGGUUUCCCUAAUAGUUCCUGGUGAAUCAAAGCAGGACCAUAAAGGUUGCUGGACUGUAUGAUGGCUGUACAGUACAAUCCUACUGACACAGCAGAGGGAUAACGACGCAGACAAAGCCGAUGGCAGAAGAUGUUUGGAGAAGAACUUCAGGCCGUGUACUGACAAGUAGAUCAAAGCAGCUCGUGCUCUGUCUGCUUCCAUUCUGAUGGCAAGAAGAAGAAGAAGGAGAAGAAUGCUUCAGCGAAGUGGCGUUCAUGGUCUCAGUGGACAGUCAUGGUCACACACUGCAUGUGGUUUUAAAAGCAACAUGUCUGUUCACCACAACAAUGGAGAUGUGUAAUAUUAGUGCAGCUACGGUUUGUUCUUGAACAUCAGUUCUGUUUUCUACUUUGACCACUUAGACCAAAAAAAGUGUUGUUUUCAGAUUCUUUCUUAUAAAUCUGUAAAUCACCUGUUCAUUUUUUAUUACAAUUAGUUUCACAUAAAUGUUAGUGUUUCCUUUAUGAUCUUUUAAUGCUUACACUACACUGUACACGUCUACAUUAGAGACAUUUCUAAUGUAGAGUAUGAGACUGGGCUGCUUGACUACGAUUUGGAAAUGGAUGCAAAAUCACACGGAUCGUGCUAUUGUUUGUUUUUUAAUAUGAUGGACUGAACACAGGAGGUAUCUGACUAAGCAAACAUUAGUCCGAUCCCAUUUCUACCUGUCUCUACUGUUUCAACUGUAACUGUCAGGAUAUAUUUAUUCCAGCUCUCACAGGACAAAGGAAUGACUCAGACUUGUCAAAUGUUCUUUGACUUGAUACACAAUAUGAAGUUCACAAUUUU